GGGCACUUGGUCUAGGGGUAUGAUUUUCGCUUCGCAUUUGUUAAAUGUGUGACUGUGAAAGGUCAUGGGUUCAAUUCCCAUAGUGUCCA